rnacentral:rRNA from 1 species
ACCCUGAAACCAUAUCAGAAUUCAAGUGGA